GAUGAACGCUGGCGGCGGGCUUAACACAUGCAAGUCGAGCGGGGUGAUGGUGCUUGCACUAUCACUUAGCGGCGGACGGGUGAGUAAUGCUUAGGAAUCUGCCUAUUAGUGGGGGACAACAUCUCGAAAGGGAUGCUAAUACCGCAUACGUCCUACGGGAGAAAGCAGGGGAUCACUUGUGACCUUGCGCUAAUAGAUGAGCCUAAGUCGGAUUAGCUAGUUGGUGGGGUAAAGGCCUACCAAGGCGACGAUCUGUAGCGGGUCUGAGAGGAUGAUCCGCCACACUGGGACUGAGACACGGCCCAGACUCCUACGGGAGGCAGCAGUGGGGAAUAUUGGACAAUGGGGGGAACCCUGAUCCAGCCAUGCCGCGUGUGUGAAGAAGGCCUUAUGGUUGUAAAGCACUUUAAGCGAGGAGGAGGCUCUUUUGGUUAAUACCCAAGAUGAGUGGACGUUACUCGCAGAAUAAGCACCGGCUAACUCUGUGCCAGCAGCCGCAGUAAAAC
rnacentral:rRNA from 1 species